rnacentral:rRNA from 1 species
GACGAACGCUGGCGGCGUGCUUAACACAUGCAAGUCGAACGGAAAGGCCUCUUUCGGGGGUACUCGAGUGGCGAACGGGUGAGUAACACGUGAGUAACCUGCCCUUGACUUUGGGAUAACUUCAGGAAACUGGGGCUAAUACCGGAUAGGAGCUCCUGCUGCAUGGUGGGGGUUGGAAAGUUUCGGCGGUUGGGGAUGGACUCGCGGCUUAUCAGCUUGUUGGUGGGGUAGUGGCUUACCAAGGCUUUGACGGGUAGCCGGCCUGAGAGGGUGACCGGCCACAUUGGGACUGAGAUACGGCCCAGACGCCUACGGGAGGCAGCAGGGGGGAAGAUUGCACAAGGGGUGGAAGCCUGAUGCAGCAACGCCGUGUGCGGGAUGACGGCCUUCGGGUUGUAAACCGCUUUCGCUCAUGACGAAGCUUUGUGUGACGGUAGUGGGUAAAGAAGCACCGGCUAACUACGUG